rnacentral:rRNA from 1 species
UUUCCGUAGGUGAACCUGCGGAAGGAUCAUUGUCGAAACCUGCAAGGCAGAACAACCCGCGAAUUGGUGAGAACAAAUGUGGGGGAUUGGCCUCCGUGGCCGUCGCCCAAAGUCUCAGGCGAGGGCUGUGGGGAAACUCGCCGUCCUCUGCCGCGGGCACAAAGAACAAACCCCAGCGCGAAUCGCGCCAAGGAAUACUAAAAGAAAGGAAAGGAAAAGCGAUGUGCGCUCCCCCUUCGUUCCGGUCUGGAUGCCUUGAGGGGUUGCGUCUUCGUUUUCUACCAUGUUUAAAACGACUCUCGGCAACGGAUAUCUCGGCUCUCGCAUCGAUGAAGAACGUAGCGAAAUGCGAUACUUGGUGUGAAUUGCAGAAUCCCGUGAACCAUCGAGUUUUUGAACGCAAGUCGCGCCCAAAGCCGUCAGGUCGAGGGCACGCUUGCCUGGGUGUCACGCAACGUCGCCAAACAUCCCCUCAUCCCUUGUGACAGGGAACAAUGAGGGGCGGCGGAUAUUGGCCGCCCGUGUGCUCUUGCGCGCGGUCGGUCUAAAUGAAAGCCCCCGACGCGGCAGCCACGGCACUCGGUGGUUGGCAGCAUGCGCUCCUCGAACACCGUCGUGGGCGAGCUUCGUUGGCGGGAUUCCUGUGACCCUGACGUAAAGCGUCUACGCAAAGCGACCCCAGGUCAGGCGGGAACACCCGCUGAGUUUAAG